ensembl:lncRNA
AAACUGAGCUCAUGCAGUAAGGAUAAGAAAAAAAAACAUAAAAAGAAAGGCAGCAUAAAAUGAUUCCUUUGCAUCAUCAGAUGAGAAGUUUUCUCCUCUUCUGUUAGAACAUGACUUGAUUUUGGUUUUGCAUUGUAAACAUCCACUCACAAUGCUCCAAAAUUUUUUCCCUUAACUUUGCAUGUUUCCCCUCUUUUCAAAGACAACUGCAAGGCAUGGGUCAGCAGAACGAUAUCUACCAUACAGGCGGCUUAAGCUGCCAGAUGCAAUGGGAGCUACUGGCACAAGCAGGAUGAUGCUGCAGCUCACUAUGAGACUGGGUGGCUCGCAACUAUGGCUUGAUGAGAUGGCAUCUCCAGUAACCCAAUAGGUGGGAGUGCGAGCAGGUUGGUGCUUCACUGAAGGAAAGACUCCAAGGAAUUAACUUUUUGGUAGCUAUAUGAGGAAACUUGGUAAAAAGUCAUCAUCUUCUGAAUGGUGAUUUCAUAGAAUUGAAAGCUUCUAAAAGAAACUGGGGAAGUUUUGAAGUACUGCCUCUGGAUACAACUUUAUUCUUGAAGCAACUUACUACUUCUCAACAAGAAAUUCAUCUGUUGAACUGUUCUGCUGUUUGUUCUCAGACCAUUGUAAGGAAUAGCAUAGCUGCCCUGCAGAAAAGAAGCCUGAAAAUACCAUCAGCCUCUGCUGCAAACACCAGAGUCUGUCAUCAGCCAGAACAAAAGCAAGUACUUCAUUUGUACUGUGAGAGGGAUUUGCAGCCUCCCAUGCUGCAGCUGUCCCUGCUUGAGAAUUGUAAAAAGAACAGAGAAGCAGUGAUGGUUGCAGAGACAAGAAGCACCAGACAGGUCAAACCAGUGUUGCAUGCACAGCCCCAAGAGAAGCUAUUGGAGAGAGCCUUAUGGCCAAACGGAAACAGAGGUCCUCUUGAUGUCCUCUGAAGAGCAUCUCUCCUGGGCAUCAUUGUGCAGCCUGAGCUCUUGCCCGGGAGUGAGUGAUCACAGCUGAUAUCCUGGGGCCUUCCUGAGGAGUAAGGCUGAGGUAUUUUAAAUGCACUUUGGAUGGACCUGAAGAAGUUUAUUCCUCUUAAUAAACAAUGUUUUUGAAUAUGUUUGGAAACCUUUGCUUAAGCACUCGACUAACUGACUUACAGUGGAGGUGCGGGUAGCUUUUUGGCAUUUGCGUUGGUCUCUUUUCACUGGUGACAGGUGACAGGUGACAGGAUGAGGGGAAAUGGCCUCAAGUUGUGCCAGGGUAAGUUUAGGUUGGAUAUCAGGAAAAACUUCUUUACAUAAAGGGUGGUUAAGCACUGGAAUGGGC